GUAAGACGAAGGAGAAGAAGAGGAGGUGGAGGAGGAGAGAUGAGGUGAGGGAAGGUGAGAAAGAAGCUGAAAGAUGGAGGGAACUGACAAGUGAUGUAUGUGGAAACGUAGCUUACUAUUUAUAGCUGUGUGUGUGUGUGUGUGUUACUGUUUGUGUGCAUGAAUGCAUAAUUGUACAGCUGGUUGUCUGUUGGUGAGGGGAUGUGUGAGGACAAAAGAAAACGAUGAAAGGCCCUUCAGUGGACAAUAGUUUGUUAGAUGGCUUUUUAGUUGCAGAACAAAAAGAAGAAAACCGCAUGAAGAAUGAGCAUUUAACCCGUGUGUUGAAACAGUGUCCACUCUCUUUUGUCCUCUCGUCACGGUGCAGGCCAGACGUCCUCACAAGGACAAGAAAUGUGAAGGGAACCACUCAUCACUCUGCUGCACAGGACGAAGGGCGGGCGGGUCAGGACAAGGUGAAGGCAGCAGUGCGGUUGUCUGCUGGGUAAUCCUGUCCUUGGCAGCCGGAGAGGAGGACUAACUCCUUUAAGUGCUCAGUCCCACUGCUUAAAGAUGCCUCCACACACAGGGUUUCUUCAGCAGGACGGGAGGGGCGGGGCUGAGAGAGAAAAGAGAGGCUGAAGGAGCGACAUGAGCGACAGCAGCAGACCUCAGACCAGCCCCGAGUCUCAGUCUCCGCAGAGAGCGGCAGAUAAGCAGCGGAGGUGACGAGGUUGUCGACGCCUCGGCGUGAAAAUCUGACAGAGCCCGAGACGGCACAAAGCCCAGUGUGAACUAAUAAACAACCAGGUGAAUGAAUUCUGAAUGAAAAAUCCCACACGGCGCACCUCAGCCUGCCUCGGCAGCAUCCGUCCCAUCUCAUUUACCUCUCCUCAACUGGUUUCCUGCCAGUUAUCCCUGCAUCCUCUCUGCAGAGCUGAUUAGAGGCCCCUUCCUGUAACAGAGGACGAGACAAGGACGACACACUCUCCGUCUGCCAGCAGAGCUCUUACAUUUAGUCGGCCUGGCCGAGGCGGACACUGCGGCUCGAUGAAGACGGAUGGUCUAAUCCAGACGGGUUAAAAUGGCGGCCUGCGAGGUGGCAGCCGCGCGGGACUCCGUUUAACGAGUUAAUCACAAACUGCUCCGGUUUCUAGUUAUGAUCUGCAAGUCAGCUGUUGUUUGAUUUCCAUUUCUGUUCACACUGCGCGUUUGUUUGACCUCUAGAGUCUUUCUACAGUGUGAGAGUGAGAUUCAAACUCCGCCGGCGCCAAAUAACGACAACGUGACACCCGAAAAUUAAUUUCUUUGACUUUUAUCCCCAUGUAAACAGCUGUGUAAUUUAUUAAGCGUCAUAACAUAAGAGUCAUAACAUAAUCUAAAUUUUAUCAUGCCACAGCAAGGUGCCUCAGCUGCACAGAGCUUUACAGCGUCUUCCAGGUCAUAGUUUUGGUUUUCCAGGCUCAUGCUGGACUGUUGUGAUUUGCAUUCACUGCUCUCGUUGCUUUAUUUUUGGCCACAACAGGCAGCUGUUUUCAGCAAUUAAGCUCUCCGCAGCAAACAGCAGACAGACACAGUUAGAGACUAGCUGAACACAGUGGAGCAUUCAGCAGCUAAAGAGACGGAUAUUUAUCUCAGGAGCUGGUGGAGACCGAACACAGAGCUACAAGAGAGGGAGUACUUAGAUUCAUCAGGUGG